rnacentral:tRNA from 1 species
UCCCCGGUAGCUCAGAUGGUAAAGAAUCUGCCUCCAAUGCAGGAGACCCAGGUUCGAUCCCUGGGUUGGGAA